rnacentral:rRNA from 1 species
CCUACGGGAGGCAGCAGUAGGGAAUCUUCCACAAUGGACGAAAGUCUGAUGGAGCAACGCCGCGUGAGUGAAGAAGGGUUUCGGCUCGUAAACCUCUUUUGCCGGGGAGCAAGGGCGGGGACGUGUCCCGGCCCGGAGAGUACCCGGAGAAAAAGCAUCGGCUAACUCCGUGCCAGCAGCCGCGGUAAUACGGAGGAUGCGAGCGUUAUCCGGAUUUAUUGGGUUUAAAGGGUGCGUAGGCGGGCUUUUAAGUCAGCGGUAAAAAUUCGGGGCUCAACCCCGUCCGGCCGUUGAAACUGGGGGCCUUGAGUGGGCGAGAAGAAGGCGGAAUGCGUGGUGUAGCGGUGAAAUGCAUAGAUAUCACGCAGAACCCCGAUUGCGAAGGCAGCCUUCCGGCGCCCUACUGACGCUGAGGCACGAAAGUGCGGGGAUCGAAUAGGAUUAGAUACCCUGGUAGUC